CAAAACGCUCUAUCAGGAGAGAGGGUGGGAGCGGCAGUCUAUUACAUUACAACACAAAGCUUACCCAAAUGACAGUGUAAACCACACAAUAGCCAGUUUGAUAGUGUUUUCUUUCAGAGGGUAGUCAAAACACUUCAUAAAGUUAACCAAGAUCUGCGUGGAGAAAGAAGAGAGACACAUCAAUAAUGAUUUGUGAGAGUGCAGUGCAGGAUAUCACGACCAUCUAGCGAGCCAACAGGUGGAGAGGCAGAGAAAACCCACCCCACGUAGCUCUGUCUUUGACCUGAAGAGGGCCUUGGAGACUGCGUUCCCCGACUCUGACUUCAUCUCCACCAGCUCAUCCAGAUGCUUGGGGAUCUUGAUUCUGUUCACCUGGGAUGGGAAUGAUGGGAAAUUGAGUUUUCAAUAACAUAAUUCAAUCAAAAGUUAUGUUAAUGCUGUUUCUUUCAUGUAGGCUACUGCUGGUGGAGAAAUGUAAGUGGAAGGUUGUCUGUGUAUCAUCCCUGCAUUGUAUAUCCCUCUCUGGGUGGUACAAGGAAACAGGACCCUGGAGCCACCUCUGAGAGGAACUGGAAUUGACCUGGUUCGCUUACAACAUGUGAGGCUAGAGACCAUGCAGCCAGUGAACAACAGUAUGGACAUUCAGAAACGGUGCUGUACAGUAAUUCUGCCCGCUCUGACUCUGGUUCCGGUCUCCAGUCCCGCGUCUCCACAUCCUGCUACUCUGUCCUGGAUUCCCCACUCUACUGCUCCCUUGGAUUCCCCUCCGGACCUGCUUACCCUGUCCCAACCCCUCUCGUUCCAGCUUCAGCCCCCUGCACUCCAUCUUCCACCUGUGUUUGAAUAAAUACCUUAAAUACCUACUUCA